rnacentral:rRNA from 1 species
CUUUGAAGUUACAAAGGGCGUAUGGUGAAUGCCUUGGGAAUAGGAGACGAUGAAGGACGUGACUACCUGCGAUAAGGUUCGGGGAGCUGGAAGUAAGCUUUGAUCCGGACAUGUCCGAAUGGGGAAACCCGGUGAGAUUAAUCUCUCAUCAUCCUAUAAUGAAUAAAUAGUUAUAGUGAAGGUAUACCUAGGGAAUUGAAACAUCUCAGUACCUAGAGGAAAAGAAAGCGAAUGCGAUUCUCUUAGUAGCGGCGAGCGAACGGGGAACAGCCCAAACCAGAUUUAUCUGGGGUUGUAGGACCAUAUGAGUAGAGUUACAAAACUUGUUUAUAGUAGAAAUGGUUGGGAAACCAUGCCACAGAGGGUGAUAGCCCCGUAUACGAAAUGAACAAGACUCGAAAUGGAAUCCCCUGAGUACCGGCGAGACACGUGAAAUCUUGUCGGAAUCAACGCGGACCACCCGCGUAAGGCUAAAUACUACCUAUUCACCGAUAGUGAACCAGUACCGUGAGGGAAAGGUGAAAAGCACCCCGGGAGGGGAGUGAAAUAGUACCUGAAACCAUAUGCCUACAAGAAGUCGGAGCCCGUUAAUGGGUGACGGCGUGCCUUUUGUAGAAUGAGCCGGCGAGUUAUGAUAGCAUGCAAGGUUAAGUAGAAGAUACGGAGCCGUAGUGAAAGCGAGCCUUAAUAGGGCGUUUAGUAUGUUGUCAUAGACCCGAAACCAGGUGAUCUAGCCAUGAGCAGGUUGAAGUUGAGGUAAAACUUAAUGGAGGACCGAACCGACGUUCGUUGAAAAGACCGCGGAUGACUUGUGGCUAGGGGUGAAAUUCCAAUCGAACCUGGAGAUAGCUGGUUCUCCCCGAUAUAGCUUUAGGGCUAGCGUCGAGGUUAGCAAGUUGGAGGUAGAGCACUAAAUGUAUGAUGGCCCCACCUAGGGGUACUGAAUGCAAUUAAACUCCGAAUGCCAAUUUUGUAUACUCGGCAGUCAGUACAUGGGUGAUAAGGUCCGUGUACGUGAGGGAAACAGCCCAGAUCAUCAGCUAAGGUCCCAAAAUUUAUGCUAAGUGUGUAAGGAUGUGAAGUCGCUUAGACAGCUAGGAGGUUGGCUUAGAAGCAGCCACCCUUUAAAGAGUGCGUAACAGCUCACUAGUCGAGUAACUUUGCGCCGAAAAUGUACCGGGGCUAAGCAUAAUACCGAAGCUAUGGGUUUUGUAUAUUUAUAUACAGGGCGGUAGGGGAGCGUUCUAACAGGGAUGAAGGUAGACCGUGAGGACUGCUGGACUGGUUAGAAGUGAGAAUGCCGGCAUGAGUAACGUUUGAGGGUGAGAAUCCCUCAUGCCGUUUGACCAAGGUUUCCUGGGCAAGGUUCGUCCACCCAGGGUUAGUCAGGACCUAAGGCGAGGCCGAAAGGCGUAGUCGAUGGACAACAGGUUGAUAUUCCUGUACCACCAUAUAGAGCGAUGGAGUGACGGAGAAGGAUAGUAUAUCCCGGUUAUUGGAUUCCGGGCUAAGCACAAAGAGGGUAAGGUUGGCAAAUCCGCCUUGCAUAACCUUGAAGUGUGAUGGGGAGCGAACGGUUCGCCUAGUAGCGAAGUAUAUGACUCCAUGCUUCCAAGAAAAGCUUCUAGCACUAUUUAUAUGGUGCCUGUACCUAGAACGAACACACGUGGUCAAGGAGAGAAUCCUAAGGCAAGCGAGAUAACUGUAGCUAAGGAACUCUGCAAAAUAACCCCGUAAGUUAGCGAGAAGGGGUGCUCAUAGCAAUAUGAGCCGCAGUGAAGAGGAAGGGGCAACUGUUUAGCAAAAACACAGCUCUCUGCAAAGUCGUAAGACGACGUAUAGGGGGUGACGCCUGCCCAGUGCUGGAAGGUUAAGGGGAUUAGUUAGCAUUAGCGAAGCUUUGAACCGAAGCCCCAGUGAACGGCGGCCGUAACUAUAACGGUCCUAAGGUAGCGAAAUUCCUUGUCAGGUAAGUUCUGACCCGCACGAAAGGCGUAAUGAUCCCUUCGCUGUCUCGGCUGCAGACUCGGUGAAAUUUUAGUACCUGUGAAGAUGCAGGUUACCCGCAACUAGACGGAAAGACCCCAUGGAGCUUUACUAUAGCUUGAUAUUGGGUUUUGAUAUAGCAUGUAUAGGAUAGGUGGGAGACUUUGAAGCAGCGACGCUAGUUGUUGUGGAGUCAUCCUUGGAAUACCACCCUUGCUAUGUCGAAAUCCUAACCUAGAUCUGUAAGCCAGAUCAGAGACAGUGUCAGGUGGGUAGUUUGACUGGGGCGGUCGCCUCCUAAAAUGUAACGGAGGCGCCCAAAGGUACCCUCAGUAUGGUCGGAAAUCAUACAUAGAGCGCAAAGGUAGAAGGGUGCUUGACUGUGAGACUUACAAGUCGAACAGGAGCGAAAGCUGGGCUUAGUGAUCCGGCGGUCCCGUGUGGAAGGGCCGUCGCUCAACGGAUAAAAGUUACCCUGGGGAUAACAGGCUGAUCUCCCCCAAGAGUUCACAUCGACGGGGAGGUUUGGCACCUCGAUGUCGGCUCAUCGCAUCCUGGAGCUGAAGUUGGUUCCAAGGGUUGGGCUGUUCGCCCAUUAAAGCGGUACGCGAGCUGGGUUCAGAACGUCGUGAGACAGUUUGGUCCCUAUCUGUUGUGGGCGUAGGAAAUUUGAAGAGAUCUGUCCCUAGUACGAGAGGACCGGGAUGGACACACCUCUGGUGCUCCAGUUGUCACGCCAGUGGCACAGCUGGGUAGCUAUGUGUGGAAAUGAUAAUCGCUGAAGGCAUCUAAGCGAGAAGCAUACUUUAAGAUGAGAUUUCCCAUCCUUUAUGGAGUAAGACCCCUUGAAGACGACAAGGUUGAUAGGUUGGGUGUGUAAGCACGGUGACGUGUUCAGCUAACCAAUACUAAUAGGUCGAGGACUUCAAACAA